ACACCUACGGGGGGCAGCAGUAGGGAAUCUUCCACAAUGGACGAAAGUCUGAUGGAGCAACGCCGCGUGAGUGAAGAAGGGUUUCGGCUCGUAAAGCUCUGUUGGGAGUGAAGAAAGAUAGAGGUAGUAACUGGCCUUUAUUUGACGGUAAUUACUUAGAAAGUCACGGCUAACUACGUGCCAGCAGCCGCGGCAAUACGUAGGUGGCAAGCGUUGUCCGGGUUUAUUGGGCGUAAAGCGAGUGCAGGCGGGUAAAAAA
rnacentral:rRNA from 1 species